rnacentral:lncRNA from 1 species
CCUCAGAAUCAGUCUGCAACAGUCUUCUAUAAUCUGAAUUUUGAUUCUCCAAAAUUUAGUCUACUGAAUUUGAAUGAAGUCUGGAUCGCGAUCAACACUUGAUCUUUCUCUUUGAUCUUCUUCUUCUCCUCUUCUCUAGAGUUUUUCCUUACUAUGUGCUGUAAAGAAAGAGGCACCCAAACUCUUUUGGGCAUGGAACUCCUUGGGAU